AAACUUUACAAUGCUGGCAACAGCGAUAAGGGGACCUCGAGUGCCAGGAUACAAUCCUGGCUGUCGUAAUGCCUAAAAAGCAUUGCAUAGCAAGGGCCGGGCAAGACCGGUGCCAGCCGCCGCGGUAACACCGGCGGCUCGAGUGGUAACCGUUAUUAUUGGGUCUAAAGGGUCUGUAGCCGGCUGGAUAAGUCUCUUGGGAAAUCUGGCAGCUUAACUGUCAGGCUUUCAGGAGAUACUGUUCGGCUCGAGACCGGGAGAGGUAAGAGGUACCUCAGGGGUAGGGGUGAAAUCUUGUAAUCCUUGAGGGACCACCAGUGGCGAAGGCGUCUUACCAGAACGGAUCUGACGGCAAGGGACGAAAGCUAGGGGCACGAACCGG
rnacentral:rRNA from 1 species